rnacentral:rRNA from 1 species
ACGUGUGGGCAACCUGCCCUGCACUGGGGAAUAAUCAUUGGAAACGAUGACUAAUACCGCAUACGGUUCCUGGGAGGCAUCUUCUGGGAAAGAAAGGAUUUAUUCGGUGCAGGAUGGGCCCGCAUCUGAUUAGCUAGUUGGUGAGAUAACAGCCCACCAAGGCGACGAUCAGUAGCCGACCUGAGAGGGUGACCGGCCACAUUGGGACUGAGACACGGCCCAAACUCCUACGGGAGGCAGCAGUGGGGAAUAUUGCACAAUGGGCGAAAGCCCGAUGCAGCAACGCCGCGUGAAGGAAGAAGGGUUUCGGCUCGUAAACUUCUAUCAACAGGGACGAAAGAAAUGACGGUACCUGAAUAAGAAGCCCCGGCUAACUACGUGCCAGCAGCCGCGGUAAUACGUAGGGGGCAAGCGUUAUCCGGAAUUACUGGGUGUAAAGGGUGAGUAGGCGGCAUGGUAAGCCAGAUGUGAAAGCCUUGGGCUUAACCCGAGGAUUGCAUUUGGAACUAUCAAGCUGGAGUACAGGAGAGGAAAGCGGAAUUCCUAGUGUAGCGGUGAAAUGCGUAGAUAUUAGGAAGAACACCAGUGGCGAAGGCGGCUUUCUGGACUGAAACUGACGCUGAGGCACGAAAGCGUGGGGAGCGAACAGGAUUAGAUACCCUGGUAGU